rnacentral:rRNA from 1 species
GAUGAACGCUGGCGGCAUGCCUAAUACAUGCAAGUCGAACGAGAGGAAGGAAAGCUUGCUUUUCUGAAUCUAGUGGCGAACGGGUGAGUAACACGUAGGUAACCUGCCCAUGUGCCCGGGAUAACUUCUGGAAACGGAUGCUAAAACCGGAUAGGUAGCAGACAAGCAUUUGACUGCUAUUAAAGUGGCUUUGGCCAUGAACAUGGAUGGACCUGCGGUGCAUUAGCUGGUUGGUGAGGUAACGGCCCACCAAGGCGACGAUGCAUAGCCGGCCUGAGAGGGCGGACGGCCACAUUGGGACUGAGACACGGCCCAAACUCCUACGGGAGGCAGCAGUAGGGAAUUUUCGUCAAUGGGGGGAACCCUGAACGAGCAAUGCCGCGUGAGUGAGGAAGGUCUUCGGAUCGUAAAGCUCUGUUGUAAGAGAAAAACGGCACUCAUAGGGAAUGAUGAGUGAGUGAUGGUAUCUAC